rnacentral:misc_RNA from 1 species
GCGACCUCCACCACCACCGCCGCCGCGCCGGCGAAGUCGACCCCGAAGAAGAUCAACCUCCUCGAUCCCCAUGCCAUCAAGAACUCCCUCGACGAAGCCGUCAAAGAGAUCGUCACCGGCAGGGGGUACGCCGAGGACGUGCGACUGAGCAACAUGCGGCUGUUGAUCGGGACCCUGAUCAUCGCUGUCGCGCUUGUAGCUCAGUUCUACCCGAAGAAGUUUCCGGAGAAUCGCGAUUUCCUCAUCGUCUGCAUCGGAUUGUAUGUGGUGUUGAACGGGGUGUUGCAAUUCUUUAGCUAUACGAAGGAGAAGAGCGCUAUCCUGUUUACUUAUGCACCCGCAGGAUCUUUCAACAGUACUGGGUUGAUCGUGUCAUCUAAGCUGCCGAGAUUCUCUGACACCUACACUCUUACUGUAGCUAGUGCUGAUCCAAAGUCAAUUUCUGCGAACAAAACUGUUCAACUUACCAAGAGUGUUACAAAAUGGUUCACCAAGGAUGGAGUUCUUGUUGAAGGCCUCUUCUGGAAGGACGUGGAGCGACUGAUCGACGACUACAAUGGAGAUAGAAAGAGCAAGUGAAUUUCAGAAAAUUUUGCCACCUUGAAGAUGUUGGGGAGCAAGCAUUAAAAAGCUAUUUAACCCGUGGCAUACUUUAUUUAAUCCGAAACUUGUGACU